GGUUUGAUUAUGGCUCAGAUUGAACGCUGGCGGGAUGCUUUACACAUGCAAGUCGAACGGCAGCACGGACUUCGGUCUGGUGGCGAGUGGCGAACGGGUGAGUAAUGUAUCGGAACGUGCCUAGCGGGGAUAACUACGCGAAAGCGUAGCUAAUACCGCAUACGCCCCUUCGGGGAAAGCGGGGGACCUUCGGGCCUCGCACUAUUAGAGCGGCUGAUAUCGGAUUAGCUAGUUGGUGGGGUAACGGCUCACCAAGGCGACGAUCCGUAGCUGGUUUGAGAGGACGACCAGCCACACUGGGACUGAGACACGGCCCAGACUCCUCACGGGAGGCAGCAGUGGGGAAUUUUGGACAAUGGGGGAAACCCUGAUCCAGCCAUCCCGCGUGUGCGAUGAAGGCCUUCGGGUUGUAACACUUUUGGCAGGAAAGAAACGGCAUCGGGAUAUACUCUCGGGCAAUGAUUUAAAAAUUUGCAGAAUGUUGGAAUUUCUGGCUAACUACAUGUGCCAGCAGCCGCGUAAUACGUAGGGUGCAAGCGUUAAUCGGAAUUACUGGGCGUAGAGCGUGCGCAGGCGGUUCGGAAAAGAAAGAUGUGAAAUCCCAGAGCUUAACUUUGGAACCGCAUUUUUAACUACCGAGCUAGAGUGUGUCAGAGGGAGGUGGAAUUCGGGCGUGUAGCAGUGAAAUGCGUAGAUAUGCGGAGGAACACCGAUGAAGAAGGCAGCCUCCUGGGAUAACACUGACGCUCAUGCACGAAAGCGUGGGAGCAAACAGGAUUAGAUACCCUGGUAGUCCACGCCCUUAAACGAUGCCGAAUCAGCUAGCUUCUGGCCUUAUGUGCCACGUGAAGUUGACCGCCUGGGGAGAAACUCAAAGGAAUUGACGGGACCCGCACAAGCGGAUGAUGUGGAUUAAUUGAUGCAACGCGAAAAACCUUUACCUACCCUUGACAUGUCUGGAAUCCCGAAGAGAUUUGGGAGUGCUCGUGUUAGAACCGGAACACAGGUGCUGCAUGGCUGUCGUCAGCUCGUGUCGUGAGAUGUUGGGUUAAGUCCCGCAACGAGCGCAACCCUUGUCAUUAGUUGCUACGAAAGGGCACUCUAAUGAGACUGCCGGUGAUUAAACCGGAGGGGAAGGUGGGGAUGACGUCAUUAUCCUCGCGGCUGCGGUAGGGCUUCACACGUCAUACAAUGGUCGGGACAGAGGGUCGCCAACCUGCGAGGGGGAGCCAAUCCCAGAAACCCGAUCGUAGUCCGGAUCGCAGUUCGCAACUCGACUGCGUGAAGUCGGAAUCGCUAGUAAUCGCGGAUCAGCAUGUCGCGGUGAAUACGUUCCCGGGUCUUGUACACACCGCCCGUCACACCAUGGGAGUGGGUUUUACCAGAAGUAGUUAGCCUAACCGUAAGGAGGGCGAUUACCACGGUAGGAUUCAUGGCUGGGGUGAAGUCGUAACAAGGUAG
rnacentral:rRNA from 1 species